rnacentral:rRNA from 1 species
UACGUAGGGGGCUAGCGUUGUCCGGAAUCAUUGGGCGUAAAGCGCGUGUAGGCGGUCCGGUAAGUCCGCUGUGAAAGUCGGGGGCUCAACCCUCGAAUGCCGGUGGAUACUGUCGGGCUAGAGUGCGGAAGAGGCGAGUGGAAUUCCUGGUGUAGCGGUGAAAUGCGUAGAUAUCGGGAAGAACACCAAAGGCGAAAGCGCUCUGCUGGGCCGAAACUGACACUGAGAGACGAAAGCUAGGGGAGCGAAUGGG